GUGGGGAAUUUUGGACAAUGGGGGAAACCCUGAUCCAGCCAUUCCGCGUGAGUGAAGAAGGCCUUCGGGUUGUAAAGCUCUUUCGGCCGGAGCGAAACGGUGGCGGCGAAUACCCGCCAUUACUGACGGUACCGGCAGAAGAAGCACCGGCUAACUACGUGCCAGCAGCCGCGGUAAUACGUAGGGUGCGAGCGUUAAUCGGAAUUACUGGGCGUAAAGCGUGCGCAGGCGGUCUGUGAAGACAGGUGUGAAAGCCCCGGGCUUAACCUGGGAAUGGCGCUUGUAACUGGCAGGCUAGAGUGUGUCAGAGGGAGGUAGAAUUCCACGUGUAGCAGUGAAAUGCGUAGAGAUGUGGAGGAAUACCGAUGGCGAAGGCAGCCUCCUGGGAUAACACUGACGCUCAGGCACGAAAGCGUGGGGAGCAAACAGGAUUAGAAACCCCAGUAGUCC
rnacentral:rRNA from 1 species